rnacentral:lncRNA from 1 species
AUGGUGAUGGUCAGUAUGAAUGGAUUUGGCUGUAUUAGAUGCCUGGUUAUUAGGGCUGCCUUCUCUGCUUCUGGCAAAGUAGAGAUUGUUGCUAUCAAUGACCCCUUCAUUGACCUUUACUGCAUGGUCUACAUGUUUGGGUAUCACUCAGGCAAAUUCAACAGCACAGUCAAGGCUGAGAAUGGUAAGAUUGUCAUCAAGAGGAAGCCCAUUACCAUCUUCUAGGAGGUAACAUCCAAUGGGAUGAUGCUGGUGCUAAGUAUUGUGGAGUCUACUAGUGUCUUCACAUGGAGAAGGUCAGGGCUCACUUGAAAGGUAGGGCCAAAAUGGUCAUUAUCUCUGUCUCUUCUUCUAAAUCCUCCAAGUUUGUGAUGGAUAUGAACCAUGAGAAAUAUGACAACUUGCUCAGAAUUGUCAGCCAUGCAUUCUGCACCACAAACUGUUCCACUCCCCUGACCAAGUCAUCCAUGAAAACUUUGACAUCAUGGAAGGACCCAUGACUGUGGUCCAUGCCAUCACUCCCACUCAGAAGACUACAUAAUCCCUCUGGAAAACUGUGGUGUGAUAGCUGUGGGCUUGCCCAUAAUCUCAUCCUUGCAUCCACUGAUGCUGCCAAGGCUGCGGGAAAGGUCACCCCAGAGCUGAACAAGAAGCACAUUGGCAUGGUCUUCUAUGUUUCUAUCCCCAAUAUUUCUGCAGUUGAGCUGACAUACCUCUUAUAGAAACCUGCCAAGUAUGAUGACAUCAAGAAGAUGGUGCCGUAGGCACCCAAGGGCCCACUGAAGGGUAUCCUGGGUUACACUGAGAACCAGGUUGUUUCCUGUGACUUCAACAGUAACUCCCACUCCUCCACCUUUUAUGUUGGGGAUGGCAUUACUCUGAAUGACAACUUUGUAAAGCUCAUUUCCUGGUAUGACAAUAAAUAUGGCUAGAGCAACAUAGUGGUGGGCCCCAUGAUCUACAUGGCCCCCAAGGACUAA